rnacentral:rRNA from 1 species
AUUGAACGCUGGCGGCAGGCCUAACACAUGCAAGUCGAACGGUAACAGGAAGAAGCUUGCUUCUUUGCUGACGAGUGGCGGACGGGUGAGUAAUGUCUGGGACACUGCCUGAUGGAGGGGGAUAACUACUGGAAACGGUAGCUAUUACCGCAUAACGUCGCAAGACCAAAGAGGGGGACCUUCGGGCCUCUUGCCAUCGGAUGUGCCCAGAUGGGAUUAGCUAGUAGGUGGGGUAACGGCUUACCUAGGCGACGAUCCCUAGCUGGUCUGAGAGGAUGACCAGCCACACUGGAACUGAGACACGGUCCAGACUCCUACGGGAGGCAGCAGUGGGGAAUAUUGCGCAAUGGGCGCAAGCCUGAUGCAGCCAUGCCGCGUGUAUGAAGAAGGCCUUCGGGUUGUAAAGUACUUUCAGCGGGGAGGAAGAGAGGAAAGUUAAUACCUUUGCUCAUUGACGUUACCCGCAGAAGAAGCAACGGCUAACUCCGUG